GUUUAAUUAAGAGAAGCGUGGUAGGAAGGACAUCUGAAGGAAGGUUGGGUUGCACUUGCGCUGCCCUACCUGAAAUCCCAGACUGGUUGCAGCCUGAGCACUGUGCUUCUGCACUGCUGGGAAGGGACGGGUAGACAACGCAGCCACAGCACCUUGGAAAUGAGGUUUCAAGAAGCCAGGCGCACACGAGUGAGCAGCUGCAACAGAGCCUGCACAGACUCCAGCCACCCUGCACCAGCAUCCUGCCUCGAUUCUCCUUCACAGCUUUCUUGCUCCCUGAGUAUCCCAUUGGCAUGAGGCAUAGAAGGGAAAGAAAUGUGCACUCACACUGUUGUAACCCCUCGCUGACCCCCAUCAGAAGGAAAGGCCGAACACAGAAGCCAGCCUCUGGUCUGAAGAGACAAAUGCAGACACCCUCUCAUGGAAGAUACCGUGCUAAAAUAUUCCCUUUCCCUAUUGCAUCUCCAUUAAACUUUGCUGAAGGUGAUGCUGAGAUAAGAUGGGCCCAGAAAAAUCAAUGGGUGCAAAUUCAUAAGAAAUAAACACAAUGUAAAAGCCAAAGCAAAAAGACUCUUGUAGGCAGGAAUUACCUUCACGCCCAGCAGAGCAACAGUUCAUUCCCAUAUGGAAGAGCCAACCCCAGCACGUGGAUCUUUGCUCCCUUUCACUGUAAGGCUAAGCUCGGCUCUCUGCCACUCCCACACAUGCC
ensembl:lncRNA